rnacentral:rRNA from 1 species
GGUAACAGAAGAGCUUGCUCUUGCCGACGAGUGGCGGACGGGUGAGUAACGUAUGGGGAUCUGCCGAAUGGAGGGGGACAACAGUUGGAAACGACUGCUAAUACCGCAUAAUGUCGCGAGACCAAAGCAUGGGACCUUAGGGCCAUGCGCCAUUUGAUGAACCCAUAUGGGAUUAGCUAGUAGGUGAGGUAAUGGCUCACCUAGGCGACGAUCUCUAGCUAGUCUGAGAGGAUGACCAGCCACACUGGGACUGAGACACGGCCCAGACUCCUACGGGAGGCAGCAGUGGGGAAUAUUGCACAAUGGGGGAAACCCUGAUGCAGCCAUGCCGCGUGUAUGAAGAGGGCCUUCGGGUUGUAAAGUACUUUCGGUAGCGAGGAAGGGGUUAUAUCUAAUAGGUGUAACCAUUGACGUUAACUACAGAAGAAGCACUCGGCUAACUCUCGUGCCAGCAGCCGCGGUAAUACGGAGGGUGCGAGCGUUAAUCGGAAUGACUGGGCGUAAAGGGCAUGUCGCCGAUAGUGUAAGUUACGUGUGAAAGCCCCUGGCUCAAGCUGGGAAAUGCAUUUAAAACUGGGUAUCUCGAGUAUAUGUACAGGAAAGGUAUAAAUUCUCUAGUGUAUCGGUGAAAUGCGUAUAGAUGUGGAGGAAUA